ensembl:snRNA U6 U6 spliceosomal RNA
GUGCUCACUUCAGCAGCACAUAUACUAAAAUUGGAACAAUACAGAGAACAUUAACAUGGCCCCUAUGCAAGGAUGGCAUGAAAAUUCAUGAAGUGUUGCAUAUUUUA